UCUCUCCCAUUUUGUUUCAGAGAUCUAUUCAGACGGUUAUCUUUACUCACAAUAGUUUCAUCCUCCAAUCUUGUUCAACACUCUUCAGAAGACCAUCGUUCUUGACAUUCCUACUCCGCCGUUCAGCGAUUCAUAAAAAAUCCGCCGUCGUCAACCACAAGUUGCUGAUUUACUGUUGUCGACGAGCAGAAUCUGUUACCAUUUGAUAUUUACAAAAACUCUGGGAGGAUGCUAGGGAUAUUGCUGAGAGGAUGGAGAAUCUACGUUCUGGAAUCGGCAAGGGUUAGCGCAUCGUCGCAUUGCCGAGGUUCUCCCCUGACCACGUCCGGCGAGCAAUAGAACUCUGUCACCGCUGGCACUCUUCGGUUCGGCGGAACAAGGCGGUUGCCCCUUUCCAUCUCUCUCUUGGUUCUCUACACUGUUUAUACACGAGAUUAAUGGCGUUGGUUUUGCUACUGAUUCAUGAUAGUUUUUUCAUUGCCUUUUAUCUCAUGUGAAGAAAAUAUAUAGGGUGGCUGAUGUGAGUUAUUUUUGUAUCUGGGUAUGGCUUUGAGGCUGGGUUGGUGGUGCAGCUGAUGUACUGUGUCCGAAUUGAAGAGGAAAAAGAAAAAGACGAGGGAGCUGCUAUUUCCUUUGUUUUGUUCAUUGAAAUAUGUGUCAACUGUUCAUCGGAUGUAUAUCAAUGUU